AGAAGAGAUUUAUUUUAUUAUUUAACUUUUAAAGUCUCUAAUAUGCCUUCUAAGAAGGGUUCUGGCUCAGAAAAUUGCAGCAGAAAAUCGAGUGCAGAACUAGAAUUACAGAAACUUAAGAAAUACUUUUACUGAGCUUUCUUUACACAAGAAAAUGCACGGAAAUGAAUUAUACAUGGAUACCAAUUGGUGAUUUUUAAAAAUUUAUAAUUUUAAAAAUUAAGAUAAAAAUUAGUUUAUUUCUUUUGAAUACUUUUUUGUUUUAUCUCACCCUUUACUAAGCUGUUAGCUUGGUCUGUUGUGCUUACUGCUACAUCCCCAGCAUCUAGUACAGUUCCCGACACAUAUAUGCACUUAAUAAGUAUUUGUCGAAUGAAUAUUGUUGAGUAAAUAAGAUGAAGGUCAAUUCAGAAAUUCAGCACUAUCAGGCUACAUACCUACUACAGACUAUUAUAAAAAACUAGAAUGAAGCAGUUGCUUUUAACGACAGAGAAAUGUCAGUAACAUACUUUGAGCACAAUAUAGCUAAUUUCACAACUGGUCUUUAAAUAUAACAUACCUAUAAUCAAUUUAAUGUUUUUCUUUGUUACCAGAGUUGUUCAAAACGUGCGUUUUACCUAUCAAAGCUGAACCAAGUGAGGUUUAAGAAAUCUGCACAUUUGAAUGUACUUAAUUUUAAAAGAUUCUGGUUUUGGAUUAACUCUGGAUUUCACCCUAUGGGAAAUUUUGUAAAUAUUGUCAACUUAAAAAAAAAAAACUGUGAAGCCCCAGCGCCAAGAGUAAACGAUGCAUUGGAAUUUCAACAGGAUUUCUGUAACUCUGAAAUAAUCUUUAGCAUUUCUUCUUCCCCCCACCCCCUCAGUGUAGGAGCAUUCCAGUCCAAGUUUCUGGGAGAUCGCUAUCGAAUCUUAUGACGCUGGGGUGAGAAGUUUUGCCGGGUUGAAAUGAGGGGGUCACUUUAAUAGUCUGGAAUUCCGGAGACUUUAUUUCAAGUCUUAAAAAUUCGAGCCUGUACAAGGCUGCGCUGUCAAGAGACCAGAGUUGCGAGCGUCUGGGUGACGUCCGUCCUCCUGGAAGGUGGGAUCCGGGUGGCAGGUCCCUGGGCGGCGACUCCGUCCGGGCUCACAGCGCCGCGCCCGCCCCGCUCAUCGGCCCUACCCAGCGUCCCUCCCAGACCGACGACAACCUGGGAAGCCUCGAGCGCCCAGCCCGCCGCACAGCCCGGCUCCGCUCCACAGUCCCCCACUGCCACAGGUCGGGGCGAAACUUGGCGAGCUGGCGAGACCCGGCUCCAGGACCGAAUCGCGCCGACACUUGACGGCGCUCCCCGCCCCUCCCUGCCGCCGUCACCGCCCCCGUCCGGACGGAUUCCGGCGCCCGCCGCCGCAGCCACCGCCGCCGAUCUGGGAGGCUUGUCCCUCGCCGCCCACCGUAGCCCCGGCGCUCGGCCGGUCGCCGUUUCCAAGAUGGCCGCGGCGCGCACGGCUCCUGCGGUGGGGUAGAGGCGGAGGCGGAGCCGAGUCACUCCCGCACUUCGGGGCUCGGGUGCUCCGCGCCAGGCUGCAGCUUACUGCCCGCCGCGGCCAUGCGGGGCUCCGUGCACGGAUGAGAGAAGCCGCUGCCGCGCUGGUCCCUCCUCCCGCCUUUGCCGUCACGUCUGCCGCCGCCAUGGAGGAGCCGCCGCCACCGCCGCCGCCGCCACCACCACCGCCGACGGAACCCGAGACCGAGUCAGAACCCGAGUGCUGCUUGGCGGCGAGGCAAGAGAGCACACUGGGAGAUUCAGCUUGCAAGAGUCCUGAAUCUGAUCCAGAAGACUUCUCCGAUGAAACAAAUACAGAGAAUCUUUAUGGUACCUCUCCCCCCAGCACACCUCGACAGAUGAAACGCAUGUCAGCCAAACACCAGAGGAAUAAUGUGGGGAGGCCAGCCAGUCGGUCUAAUUUGAAAGAAAAAAUGAAUGCACCAAAUCAGCCUCCACAUAAAGACACUGGAAAAACAGUGGAGAAUGUGGAAGAAUACAGCUAUAAGCAGGAGAAAAAGAUCCGAGCAGCUCUUAGAACAACAGAGCGUGAUCAUAAAAAAAAUGUACAGUGCUCAUUCAUGUUAGACUCAGUGGGUGGAUCUUUGCCAAAAAAAUCAAUUCCAGAUGUGGAUCUCAAUAAGCCUUACCUCAGCCUUGGCUGUAGCAAUGCUAAGCUUCCAGUAUCUGUGCCCAUGCCUAUAGCCAGACCUGCACGCCAGACUUCUAGGACUGACUGUCCAGCAGAUCGUUUAAAGUUUUUUGAAACAUUACGACUUUUGCUAAAGCUUACCUCAGUCUCAAAGAAGAAAGACAGGGAGCAAAGAGGACAAGAAAAUACGUCUGGUUUCUGGCUUAACCGAUCUAACGAACUGAUCUGGUUAGAGCUACAAGCCUGGCAUGCAGGACGGACAAUUAACGACCAGGACUUCUUUUUAUAUACAGCCCGUCAAGCCAUCCCAGAUAUUAUCAAUGAAAUCCUUACUUUCAAAGUCAACUAUGGGAGCUUCGCCUUUGUUAGAGAUGGAGCUGGUUUUAAUGGUACUUCAGUAGAAGGGCAGUGCAAAGCCACUCCUGGAACAAAGAUUGUAGGUUACUCAACACAUCACGAGCAUCUCCAACGCCAGAGGGUCUCGUUUGAGCAGGUAAAACGGAUAAUGGAGCUGCUAGAGUACAUAGAAGCACUUUAUCCAUCAUUGCAGGCUCUUCAGAAGGACUAUGAAAAAUAUGCUGCAAAAGACUUCCAGGACAGGGUGCAGGCACUCUGUUUGUGGUUAAACAUCACAAAAGACUUAAAUCAGAAAUUAAGGAUUAUGGGCACUGUUUUGGGCAUCAAGAAUUUAUCAGACAUUGGCUGGCCAGUGUUUGAAAUCCCUUCCCCUCGACCAUCCAAAGGUAAUGAGCCGGAGUAUGAGGGUGAUGACACAGAAGGAGAAUUAAAGGAGUUGGAAAGUAGUACGGAUGAGAGUGAAGAAGAACAAAUCUCUGAUCCUAGGGUACCGGAAAUCAGACAGCCCAUAGAUAACAGCUUCGACAUCCAGUCGCAGGACUGCAUAUCCAAGAAGCUUGAGAGGCUCGAAUCUGAGGAUGAUUCUAUUGGCUGGGGAGCACCAGACUGGAGCACAGAAGCAGGCUUUAGUAGACAUUGUCUGACUUCUAUUUAUAGACCAUUUGUAGACAAAGCACUGAAGCAGAUGGGGUUAAGAAAGUUAAUUUUAAGACUUCACAAGCUAAUGGAUGGUUCCUUGCAAAGGGCACGUAUAGCAUUGGUAAAGAACGAUCGUCCAGUGGAGUUUUCUGAAUUUCCAGAUCCCAUGUGGGGUUCAGAUUAUGUGCAGUUGUCAAGAACACCGCCUUCAUCUGAGCAGAAAUGCAGUGCUGUGUCGUGGGAGGAGCUGAAGGCCAUGGAUUUACCUUCAUUCGAACCUGCCUUCCUAGUUCUCUGCCGAGUCCUUCUGAAUGUCAUACAUGAGUGUCUGAAGUUAAGAUUGGAGCAGAGACCUGCUGGAGAACCAUCUCUCUUGAGUAUUAAGCAGCUGGUGAGAGAGUGUAAGGAGGUGCUGAAGGGCGGCCUGCUGAUGAAGCAGUACUACCAGUUCAUGCUGCAGGAGGUUCUGGAGGACUUGGAGAAGCCUGACUGCAACAUUGACGCUUUUGAAGAGGAUCUGCAUAAAAUGCUUAUGGUGUAUUUUGAUUACAUGAGAAGCUGGAUCCAAAUGCUACAGCAAUUACCUCAAGCAUCCCAUAGUUUAAAAAAUCUGUUAGAAGAAGAAUGGAAUUUCACCAAAGAAAUAACUCAUUACAUACGGGGAGGAGAAGCACAGGCCGGGAAGCUUUUCUGCGACAUUGCAGGAAUGCUGCUGAAAUCUACAGGAAGUUUUUUAGAAUUUGGCUUGCAGGAGAGCUGUGCUGAAUUUUGGACUAGUGCGGAUGACAGCAGUGCUUCCGACGAAAUCAGGAGGUCUGUUAUAGAGAUCAGCCGAGCCCUGAAGGAGCUCUUCCAUGAAGCCAGAGAAAGGGCUUCCAAAGCACUUGGAUUUGCUAAAAUGUUGAGAAAGGACCUGGAAAUAGCAGCAGAAUUCAGGCUUUCAGCCCCAGUUAGAGACCUCCUGGAUGUUCUGAAAUCAAAACAGUAUGUCAAGAUACAAAUUCCUGGGUUAGAAAACUUGCAAGUGUUUGUUCCAGACACUCUUGCUGAGGAGAAGAGUAUUAUUUUGCAGUUACUCAAUGCAGCUGCAGGAAAGGACUGUUCAAAAGAUUCAGAUGACGUACUCAUCGAUGCCUAUCUGCUUCUGACCAAGCACGGUGAUCGAGCCCGUGAUUCAGAGGACAGCUGGGGCACCUGGGAGGCACAGCCUGUCAAAGUCGUGCCUCAGGUGGAGACUGUUGACACCCUGAGAAGCAUGCAGGUGGAUAAUCUUUUACUAGUUGUCAUGCAGUCUGCCCAUCUCACAAUUCAGAGAAAAGCUUUCCAGCAGUCCAUUGAGGGACUUAUGACUCUGUGCCAGGAGCAGACAUCCAGUCAGCCGGUCAUCGCCAAAGCUUUGCAGCAGCUGAAGAAUGACGCAUUGGAGCUAUGUAACAGAAUAAGCAAUGCCAUUGACCGCGUGGACCACAUGUUCACAUCAGAAUUUGAUGCUGAGGUUGAUGAAUCUGAAUCUGUCACCUUGCAACAGUACUACCGAGAAGCAAUGAUUCAGGGGUACAAUUUUGGAUUUGAGUAUCAUAAAGAAGUUGUUCGUUUGAUGUCUGGGGAGUUUAGACAGAAGAUAGGAGACAAAUAUAUAAGCUUUGCCCGGAAGUGGAUGAAUUAUGUCCUGACUAAAUGUGAGAGUGGUAGAGGUACAAGACCCAGGUGGGCGACUCAAGGAUUUGAUUUUCUACAAGCAAUCGAACCUGCCUUUAUUUCAGCUUUACCAGAAGAUGACUUCUUGAGUUUACAAGCCUUGAUGAAUGAAUGCAUUGGCCAUGUCAUAGGAAAACCACACAGUCCUGUUACAGGUUUGUACCUUGCCAUUCAUCGGAACAGCCCCCGUCCUAUGAAGGUACCUCGAUGCCAUAGUGACCCUCCUAACCCACACCUCAUUAUCCCCACUCCAGAGGGAUUCAGCACUCGGAGCGUGCCUUCCGACGCACGGAGCCACGGCAGCCCUGCUGCUGCUGCUGCUGCUGCUGCUGUUGCUGCCAGUCGGCCCAGCCCCUCUGGUGGCGACUCUGUGCUGCCCAAAUCCAUCAGCAGUGCCCAUGAUACCAGGGGUUCCAGCGUCCCUGAAAAUGAUCGAUUGGCUUCCAUAGCUGCUGAAUUGCAGUUUAGGUCCCUGAGUCGUCACUCAAGCCCCACGGAGGAGCGAGACGAACCAGCAUAUCCAAGAGGAGAUUCAAGUGGGUCCACAAGAAGAAGUUGGGAACUUCGGACACUAAUCAGCCAGAGUAAAGAUACUGCUUCUAAACUAGGACCCAUAGAAGCUAUCCAGAAGUCAGUCCGAUUGUUUGAAGAAAAGAGGUACCGAGAAAUGAGGAGAAAGAAUAUCAUUGGUCAAGUUUGUGAUACGCCUAAGUCCUAUGAUAAUGUUAUGCAUGUUGGCUUGAGGAAGGUGACCUUCAAGUGGCAAAGAGGAAACAAAAUUGGAGAAGGCCAAUAUGGGAAGGUGUACACCUGCAUCAGCGUCGACACCGGGGAGCUGAUGGCCAUGAAGGAGAUUCGAUUUCAACCUAAUGACCAUAAGACUAUCAAGGAAACUGCAGACGAAUUGAAAAUAUUCGAAGGCAUCAAACACCCCAAUCUGGUUCGGUAUUUUGGUGUGGAGCUCCAUAGAAGCACAGUAACUUUGCCUAAUUCUCAGGAAAUCUCCAUGAGUUACAUCAUUUCUGCCUUCUCUCUGAAACUAGAGGAGUUCUUCCUAAAAUGAAGAAAUGUACAUCUUCAUGGAGUACUGCGAUGAGGGGACUUUAGAAGAGGUGUCAAGGCUGGGACUUCAGGAACAUGUGAUUAGGCUGUAUUCAAAGCAGAUCACCAUUGCAAUCAAUGUCCUCCAUGAGCAUGGCAUAGUCCACCGUGACAUUAAAGGUGCCAAUAUCUUCCUUACCUCAUCUGGAUUAAUCAAACUGGGAGAUUUUGGAUGUUCAGUAAAGCUCAAAAACAAUGCCCAGACCAUGCCUGGUGAAGUGAACAGCACCCUGGGGACAGCAGCAUACAUGGCACCUGAAGUCAUCACUCGUGCCAAAGGAGAGGGCCAUGGGCGUGCUGCCGACAUCUGGAGUCUGGGGUGUGUUGUCAUAGAGAUGGUGACUGGCAAGAGGCCUUGGCACGAGUAUGAGCACAACUUUCAAAUUAUGUAUAAAGUGGGGAUGGGACAUAAGCCACCAAUCCCUGAAAGAUUAAGCCCUGAAGGAAAGGACUUCCUUUCUCACUGCCUUGAGAGUGACCCAAAGAUGAGAUGGACCGCCAGCCAGCUCCUCGACCAUUCGUUUGUCAAGGUUUGCACAGAUGAAGAAUGAAGCCCAGUAGAAUAUGGACUUGGAAAAUUCUCUUAAUCACUACUGUAUGUAAUAUUUACAUAAAGACUGUGCUGAGAAGCAGUAUAAGCCUUUUUAACCUUCCAAGACUGAAGACUGCACAGGUGACAAGCGUCACUUCUCCUGCUGCUCCUGUUUGUCUGAUGUGGCAAAAGGCCCUCUGGAGGGCUGGUGGCCACGAGGUUAAAGAAGCUGCAUGUUAAGUGCCAUUACUACUGUACACGGACCAUCGCCUCUCUCUCCUCCAUGUCUCGUGCGACUGAGAACCGUGACAUCAGCGUAGUGUUUUGACCUUUCUAGGUUCAAAUGAAGUUGUAGUGUUAUCAGGCGUCCCAUACCUUGUUUUUAAUCUCCUGUUUGUUGAGUGCACUGACUGUGAAACCUUUACCUUUUUUGUUGUUGUUGGCAAGCUGCAGGUUUGUAAUGCAAAAGGCUGAUUACUGAAAUUUAAGAAAAAGGUUCUUUUUUCAAUAAAUGGUUUAUUUUAGGAAAGCUCA